GAUUUUUCUAGCAAAGAAGAGCUUUUACAAAGCUUGAAAAUUUUUCAAGAAAGUCCCUUGCAUAUCAAGAAAAGCAACAUCCGGAAUUAAAUCGGGGAAAAGACAAAGUAGUGGACUAAUCGAUGUUUUAUCUUCGUACAAGUUUGUGUGAUUCGAAAGCUCGUUUGGAUUGGAAGUUGUCGGAGAUCGCAUCACACUAUCAAACGUUAUUUUGGUACUUUUGACUUUAUAUUUUGGGUUAAUUGGCAUGUAUAGGUCAUUUUGGCUAAUGGUAGCCCAUAUGUUUUGUUGUGUUUCAGCCAUUUAAUUUGGCUUGAAUUUGGUUAUGCAAAUAUGUAAAUAGCCUUAUAGUAUGUGAUGUAUGGUUUCCAUGUGAAUGCCUUGG